rnacentral:lncRNA from 1 species
CAGUUUGAAGACCUACCCUAGACAUUGCUUUUUUCUUUUUUUCCGCUAAUCAACAAAACAAUUUUAUUUAAACAGACUUUUCAAUGUUGGUAUGAUGAGUUGCUGAAAGUUUGAAUGUCGGAGUCGAAGCAGGAACGGUAGCUGUCCUACACCAGUGGAAAACUUCUUUGACACUGAGGAGAAGAGACUGCAAACCAAGUUUUUUAAAAGGUGCAAAGAUCCUGAAGAUUAACAUUUAUCAUGUUGAGAUUUGGGCAGCACCUCAUCAAGCCCUCGGUGGUAUUCCUGAGGACGGAGCUCUCCUUUGCCCUUGUGAACCGGAAGCCAGUGGUCCCAGGGCGUAUCCUUUCAACCAGAGCCUCAGUCAGGAGUGCGUAUGGGCCGCUCAGCGUUCUGUGGAAAAGAGGGAGGCACUCUUUGCGUUCUGAAGGCCAGGAUACUGCUGCCACCCAAAUGGUGGAGGUGCCUGACCAGUCUGUUGGAAGACAUCGCGCCUCCCAACUCCCAAGAGAAAAUGAGACGAGUAUGUACCUGCUCUGUUCUUGCAUAUAUUUCCAAGGGGAAGACGGGGCUUCCGUACCCCUUGCCUGUCUUAUUUCAGAGUGGCCG